rnacentral:rRNA from 1 species
GACGAACGCUGGCGGCGUGCUUAACACAUGCAAGUCGUACGGUAAGGCCCUUUCGGGGGUACACGAGUGGCGAACGGGUGAGUAACACGUGAGUAACCUGCCCACAACUUUGGGAUAACGCUAGGAAACUGGUGCUAAUACUGGAUAUGUGCUCCUGCUGCAUGGUGGGGGUUGGAAAGCUCCGGCGGUUGUGGAUGGACUCGCGGCCUAUCAGCUUGUUGGUGGGGUAGUGGCCUACCAAGGUGGCGACGGGUAGCCGGCCUGAGAGGGUGACCGGCCACAUUGGGACUGAGAUACGGCCCAGACUCCUACGGGAGGCAGCAGUGGGGAAUAUUGCACAAUGGGCGCAAGCCUGAUGCAGCAACGCCGCGUGCGGGAUGACGGCCUUCGGGUUGUAAACCGCUUUCAGCAGGGACGAAGCUUUUUGUGACGGUACCUGCAGAAGAAGCACCGGCUAACUACGUG